UAAUACGUAGGUGGCAAGCGUUGUCCGGAUUUACUGGGCGUAAAGGGCUUGUAGGCGGUCCGUUAAGUCCGGUGUGAAAUCUCCCGGCUCAACUGGGAGGGGUCAUCGGAUACUGGCGGACUCGAGGUGGGCAGAGGAAAGCAGAAUUCCCGGUGUAGCGGUGAAAUGCGUAGAUAUCGGGAGGAAUACCAGUGGCGAAGGCGGCUUUCUGGGCCUAUCCUGACGCUGAGGAGCGAAAGCGUGGGGAGCAAACCGG
rnacentral:rRNA from 1 species